rnacentral:lncRNA from 1 species
UCAGAGAAUAGUAAAUCAUAUUCCAAGCUCCUGCCUUAUUUAUGAUUGCUUACAGUAAAUGCAUAUAUUGUGCACCAACAUUUGCACCAAUUCUGAUGUGCUUAAAUAAUGAUGUAGCUUUAAUGACACAUGGCAAAUAUAUAAUUUGUGCCAUGUG